rnacentral:rRNA from 1 species
AGAGUUUGAUCAUGGCUCAGGAUGAACGCUGGCGGCGUGCCUAAUACAUGCAAGUCGAUCGCUGGAGGCUUAGCUUGCUAAGCCAAGGAGAGGCGAACGGGUGAGUAAUACAUAAGCAACCUGCCCACGGAGACCGGGAUAAUCCCUGGAAACGGGGACUAAGACCGGAUAGGUAGCAGAGCCGCAUGACACUGCUAUUAAAGGACAAAGACACUGGUGGAUGGGCUUAUGGCGCAUUAGCUUGUUGGCGGGGUAACGACCCACCAAGGCGAUGAUGCGUAGCCGGCCUGAGAGGGUGAACGGCCACAUUGGGACUGAGACACGGCCCAGACUCCUACGGGAGGCAGCAGUAGGGAAUUUUCGGCAAUGGGGGAAACCCUGACCGAGCAACGCCGCCGUGAGUGAAGACGGCCUUCGGGUUGUAAAGCUCUGUUGUAGGGGAAGAACGGCAUGGAGAGGAUCCAUGAAUGACGGUACCUUACCAGAAAGCCACGGCUAACUACGUGCCAGCCGCCGC